AAUAUGAAUGAAACUGAGCUCUGAGCAGCACAUAACCUGGCCUGCAUCCAGGAAAUAGAGGACUUCGGAUCCUUCUAACCCUACCACCCAACUGGCCCCAGUACAUUCAUUCUCUCAGGAAAAAAAACAAGGUCCCCACAGCAAAGAAAAGGGAAUAGGAUAAAGAGAUACGUGGCUGCUGGCAGAGCAAGCAUGAGUUCGAUGGCUUCAGCAGUUCCGGUGGCCAAUUCUGUGUUGGUGUUGGGACCCCACAAUGGUUACCCUGUGACCCCAGGAAUUAUGUCUCAGGUGCCCCUGUAUCCAAACAACCAGCCGCAAGUCCACCUAGUUCCUGGGAACCCACCGAGUUUCGUGUCGAAUGUGAACGGGCAGCCUGUGCAGAAAGCUUUGAAAGAAGGCAAAACCUUGGGGGCCAUCCAGAUCAUCAUUGGCCUGGCUCACAUCGGCCUCGGCUCCAUCAUGGCGACGGUUCUCGUAGGGGAAUACCUGUCUAUUUCAUUCUACGGAGGCUUUCCCUUCUGGGGAGGCUUGUGGUUUAUCAUUUCAGGAUCUCUCUCCGUGGCAGCAGAAAAUCAGCCAUAUUCUUAUUGCCUGCUGUCUGGCAGUUUGGGCUUGAACAUCGUCAGUGCAAUCUGCUCUGCAGUUGGAGUCAUACUCUUCAUCACAGAUCUAAGUAUUCCCCACCCAUAUGCCUACCCCAACUAUUAUACUUACGCCUGGGGUGUGGUGAGUAUCCCUCUCAACCAAAGAUCCUCUAAGUUCAGAAUUAGCUACAUUUAGAAAACUCCCAGAAAGGGCCUGACAACCAAGCUUCCUCACUGAACACGGUAGGAAAAGGAGGUGCUUUCAGAAUAGGAACAAAUUUUAAAGUCCUUGACCCAUAGCUUUAAGCACAUGACCUUUCUCAGUUUGGGUUUCUGCCUUUGUAAAACAAUACCUACCUUGUGGCAAUGUUGAGAGAAUUAAAUGCAAUUUUACAAAGAAUGCAUAUGUGCCCACCAACCAGCACCUCUCCUCACAUUCUCUGCCUUCUUGCCUAUUACUAUAAGCAAGAGGUUAGCAAACUUAUUCUCUAAAGAGCCAAUAGUAAGCAGUUAAGGUUUUGCAGGCCUACAGUUUCUGUCGUGCAGCUAUAGCUGCCUUAUAGCAGCCACAGAAAACACU
rnacentral:sRNA from 1 species